rnacentral:snRNA from 1 species
CGGAACCGGGACGUGGCGG